rnacentral:lncRNA from 1 species
GGUGAUAGAGUAAAACAUGCAUUUAAAAAAAAAAUGUUAUGAUAUUUUUGUGAAUAAUCUGAACUUUGGGGGUGAAAAAGACAAAUCAAAGAUCCAAAAAAAAACAUUGGUCAUAUUUUUGAGUCAUAUUUGCAAAAAUAGGCUACCUUAAAAAAUGAUGGUAUUUUUAAAAGGAUGAAUUUGAUUUACUCAUUAGAAAUUAGUUAUAUUUGUUUUUUUUUUGUUUUAUAAAUUCGAAAAACUUAUGUGUUUAUUUAUUUUUCUGCACUUUAUUCUGAUAUCAUCCGUAUUCUGUUUCGGAGUUUAUUUUAUUUUUGGAACUGUGUUUUGGAGUUUAUUGGCAUGGAGGAAGUGAAACAUAUCUCAAUUCUCAAUUGGUAAGCAAGAAGAAGCCACCUUUCGUGGCUCAGCAAUUCAGGUGUUAAAGAUGUUGUUUUCUUUUGUUUUUGUGUUGUCUUCGUCAACUUGUUUUCUUUUGUUAAUGAUGUUAUAUCAUCUAUGAAAUAAAGAAAUCAAUAACAAUUGAAUUUACACCCACA